GUUAGCAGAAAGUGGCGAACGGGUGAGUAACGCGUGGGUAAUCUACCCUGUUAAGUGGGGGAUAACCCUUCGAAAGGAGGGCUAAUUCCGCCUAAUAUUUUUUCCUUUAAAAGAGGUAAAGAUUAAAGAUGGCCUCUAUACUAUGCUAUCACUUCAGGAUGAGCCCGCGUCCUAUUAGUUAGUUGGUGGGGUAAUGGCCUACCAAGGCGACAAUGGGUAGCCGGUCUGGGAGGAUGUACGGCCACACUGGGACUGAGAUACGGCCCAGACUCCUACGGGAGGCAGCAGUGGGGAAUAUUGCGCAAUGGGGGAAACCCUGACGCAGCGACGCCGCGUGGAUGAUGAAGGCCCUUGGGUUGUAAAAUCCUGUUCUGGGGGAAGAAAGCUUAAAGGUCCAAUAAACCCUUAAGCCUGACGGUACCCCAAGAGAAAGCUCCGGCUAAUUAUGUGCCAGCAGCCGCGGUAAUACAUAAGGAGCAAGCGUUAUCCGGAAUUAUUGGGCGUAAAGAGCUCGUAGGCGGUCUUAAAAGUCAGUUGUGAAAUUAUCAGGCUCAACCUGAUAAGGUCAUCUGAAACUUUAAGACUUGAGGUUAGAAGAGG
rnacentral:rRNA from 1 species